CAUUUCACUUGUCUUCUUCCAAAAAACGACCAGACCUAUUUCCUUAAGCUUCUCUUCAUAUUUCUUCACUUCCAUACUCACAUAAGAGAACAUCAAACAUAAGAAGUCAUAGAAGUAGAGCUAGAACAAGUUAUGCACCUCUUCUAGCUGAAAAUCCUACGUUUUGAAGUUUGAAUUCAUCUCUAAUCAAGUCUUGUAGCACACCUUAUCUAAGAACUGAUCCUUUCACUUCAUAAACCAUAUUGAACUUGAGGUAAGUUGAAGCUUUCAUUUGCUCAUCAUAAGAACCUAAUUAUGUGUGCUUUAAUGUGACUCUUGCUACGUGUUCUUCAUGAUGUUUGAAUGAUUGAUGAAUCAUAGUGAUAUGAAAGAAUAUGUUUUGAAAAUGGGAGUAUGGUACUUGAUUGAUGGUCGGGUAGGCAAGGGACGCGGGAGGGACCGGCGGACCCAACACAUGGUGGCAAAUACCUGAGGUCGAAAGACCAGUAUGGAAAACCCAAAAUUAAUGAAAUAAAAUACGGCUAAUACCUGAGGUCGAAAGGCCGGUAUGCAAACCCCGUAUUAUCUAUUGGCCAAAUAUGUUGAACAGGUUCCGAAAACCACAGCCUAUUGCUAUCAGUCAACUACCACACUUCAAGGGUACCCGAAAAAGAGAAGGAUUUCAAAGAAAAGGAUCAUGAAUGAAGUUAUAUGUGAUAUUGUACAUAUUGAAUGAAUAAUGUGUUAUGUGAUAUAUUGCUAUUACAUCCGUUCCAACUUGCUGAGCCAUUAGCUCAUUAGGUUCUUAUGAUGCAGGUAAUGAUGUACAUGUUUAGAAGUUGACCUAACCAAGAGCGGCCGGACAGAGAUUUGUUCAUAUGCCAUGCUUCGAGCCAUUUU
rnacentral:lncRNA from 1 species